rnacentral:rRNA from 1 species
UGGGGGAUAUUGCACAAUGGAGGAAACUCUGAUGCAGCGACGUCGCGUGAGGGAAGACGGCCCUCGGGUUGUAAACUUCUUUUAUGAAGGACGAAAAAAAUGACGGUACUUCAUGAAUAAGCCACGGCUAACUACGUGCCAGCAGCCGCGGUAAUACGUAGGUGGCAAGCGUUAUUCGGAAUCACUGGGCGUAAAGAGUACGUAGGCGGCAAGGUAAGUCUGAUGUGAAAUGCGGGAGCUUAACUUCCGAACGGCAUUGGAUACUGCUUUGCUAGAGCAAUGGAGGGGAAACCGGAAUUCUCGGUGUAGCAGUGAAAUGCGUAGAUAUCGAGAGGAACACUCGUGGCGAAGGCGGGUUUCUGGACAUUAGCUGACGCUGAGGUACGAAGGCCAGGGUAGCGAAAG